UUCCGGUUGAUCCUGCCGGAGGCCAUUGCUAUGGGAGUCCGAUUUAGCCAUGCUAGUCGCACGGGUUUAGGCCCGUGGCGAAUAGCUCCGUAACACGUGGUCAAACUACCCUGUGGAUCUGGAUAACCUCGGGAAACUGAGGCUAAUCCGGAAUAGAGCCCGAUGCCUGGAAUGGCUUGGGUUCGAAACGUUCCGACGCCACAGGAUGCGGCUGCGGCCGAUUAGGUAGACGGUGGGGUAACGGCCCACCGUGCCAGUAAUCGGUACGGGUGAUGAGAGUCAGAGCCCGGAGACGGAAUCUGAGACAAGAUUCCGGGCCCUACGGGGCGCAGCAGGCGCGAAACCUUUACACUGCACGGAAGUGCGAUAGGGGAAUCCCAAGUGCGAGGGCAUAUUAGCCCUCGCUUUUCUCGACUGUAAGGUGGUCGACGAAUAAGAGCUGGGCAAGACCGGUGCCAGCCGCCGCGGU
rnacentral:rRNA from 1 species